CAGGGCUGAGGCAUUUCCGGGCAUCCUCUGACCCGGAUUGGAGCAGCUACCUAGCUUUUGUUGAUCAUGCAUUGCCUUGCAGAUCUUUGCAAACAGGACCGCCUUUGAGAAGCCUUCUUGCUGUCUACCCAAGUCACAGCUGCACCGCAAUCAUCCCCCAUUCCCACCCAGCACCAGGAAGUGGAAGGAUUCCAACACUUUUGUGACCUAAAAGGAAAAAGCGGGCUGGUUGCAGUGACUCACACCUGUAAUCCCAGAGCCUGGGGAGGCAGAGGCUGGCGGAUCACUUGAGCAAUUGGUCAAAGCUUUAGAGUUACAGAAAUCCCAGCCCAAAGAACUCAAAUAUACCUGUCAGCAGGAAAAGCUGGCCCUGCAGGAGUUCUUGGAGCUCAGUGAGCCAUCGCAGAGCUCUGCUCUCAGAAGCAGAAGGUUUGGGACAAGGAGGAGGAGAUGGAGGUAGCCAUGCAGAAAGUCCACAUGAUGUGGCAGGAGAUACGAAGAUCAAGAAGCUCAGAGAGAGGAAGCUGUUUAGACGUUAGAUGGUUAAUCAAUACGAUGGUAUUGAUUAGACUUUUGUACGACCUUAAUAAAACAUCUUUGAA